rnacentral:piRNA from 1 species
UGUGUUAGCUGAACAAACAAGUUUGC